rnacentral:rRNA from 1 species
GACGAACGCUGGCGGCGUGCUUAACACAUGCAAGUCGAACGGAAAGGCCCUGCUUUUGUGGGGUGCUCGAGUGGCGAACGGGUGAGUAACACGUGAGUAACCUGCCCUUGACUUUGGGAUAACUUCAGGAAACUGGGGCUAAUACCGGAUAUGAGCUCCUGCUGCAUGGUGGGGGUUGGAAAGUUUCGGCGGUUGGGGAUGGACUCGCGGCUUAUCAGCUUGUUGGUGGGGUAGUGGCUUACCAAGGCUUUGACGGGUAGCCGGCCUGAGAGGGUUACCGGCCACAUUGGGACUGAGAUACGGCCCAGACUCCUACGGGAGGCAGCAGGGGGGAAUAUUGCACAAUGGGCGGAAGCCUGAUGCAGCAACGCCGCGUGCGGGAUGACGGCCUUCGGGUUGUAAACCGCUUUCGCCUGUGACGAAGCGUGAGUGACGGUAAUGGGUAAAGAAGCACCGGCUAACUACGUG